rnacentral:rRNA from 1 species
GGACUACUAGGGUUUCUAAUCCUGUUUGAUCCCCACGCUGUCGCGCCUGAGCGUCAGUUACGGGCCAGUGAGCCGCCUUCGCCACCGGUGUUCUUCCCAAUAUCUACGAAUUUCACCUCUACACUGGGAAUUCCACUCACCUCUCCCGUACUCAAGCCUUGCAGUUUCAAAGGCAAUUCCGGAGUUGAGCUCCGGGCUUUCACCCCUGACUUGAAAGGCCGCCUGCGCGCGCUUUACGCCCAGUAAUUCCGAACAACGCUAGCCCCCUUCGUAUUACCGCGGCGGCUGGCAC